GCAAGUCGAGGGGUAAUUCUGCUUUCGGGCAUAAACGACCGGCGCACGGGUGCGUAACGCGUAUGCAACCUACCCACAACUGGGGGAUAGCCCGGAGAAAUCCGGAUGAAUACCCCAUAAUGCAGGAGUACCACAUGGUACUAUUAGCUAUAGAUGCCUCGGUUGUGGAUGGGCAUGCGUCUGAUUAGUUAGUUGGUGAGGUAACGGCUCACCAAGGCAACGAUGAGUAGGGGGUCUGAGAGGAUGAUC
rnacentral:rRNA from 1 species